GGCGCCCUCUAGUGGCAGCUGCUGAGCAUUACAGGGUUCCUGCUGUAAACUUGUGCUCUGGGGCCGUGACAGAACGGGGGAGGGAAGAGCCGUGACGGGUCCCGGUGCGCAGGUAACGGGGAGUCAGUGUGGAGUUGGGAAAGGGCCGGGGCGCUGCCAGUCCGGGUUGUGCUGCAUUCGCUGCCUUAUAACAAAGUUGGCACAGGGGGGAUGAAGGGCGGGGCAGUGUGUGUCAUGCACCUGGGAAAGCCCUGCCGGUACCGGGCACUAAUGGGUCACAUGACUCGGGACAUGGGGUGCUAGCGGGGUUACCGGUAGGUAUGGGGCAGGUACCUAUGGUAUGUGGGGGCUCUGUGUAUGGGAAUGGCAGGGAUGUAGGGGUGCAUGUGUCCUGAUCCCUACAGCCCUUCAUUAUAUCCGGCCUGCAGCCCAGCAGCUGUUGUACUUCAACUCCCAGCAUCCCCUGAGAGCCUUCAGUAGUCCCAUCUCUAGCAAUUGAGCAGGAGUUGUUUGCUAGUUAGUAAGUGCCUUUCCUGCAGUGAGGCGGGUAUGUGUGUGUAUAGGGGGUGGGAAUGGCACAAGUACUGACAGUAACAGUUGUUGGUUGGAUUGUACUGUGUGUAUUGUAAGGUGGGGGCUUUAGGCCUGUGUCUCCCCCAGGCCCAUGUUUGUUGCCAUUUAUUGGAAUCCCCCCGGGGGCAGAGGGGAGACGCAGGGACUGAGGGACUGGGAGGAGGGAAAGGGAAAAGUUUAUUUCUGAACCUGAUAUCCAUGGCAAUAAGGCAGCCCCCCCCCCCAUUAAUCAGUUUGCUGUUUUGCCCUGCAGUUUGCUUGUACAGACCUGUUGCUCUGGAAUCUUUCUGUUAUUUACUUACUGCCCAUAAUAAUUACCCAUGUAUUGCCCAUAAGAUGCAGAAUUUAUGGAUAUGAUGAAUAUAUUUUGGCUGUACACAUUACAGUAUGUUACGGAGCCAUAUAAAGGCUAUGGGAGCUCAGUACAGUAAUUCCCCCUUUAUACCAGCUAUUACCAGUGACUUAACUAGGGUUCUAUGGGCCCCGGUGCAGUUACUGGACUCGGGCCCCUACCCCCCCUUUCCCUGGACAUGGGCACAUGUGAAAUCCUUUUUAGCCCAGCCCUCAAAGUUGCUCCGCCCCUAUUCUGGCGUGCCGCAAGGGGGUGUGGGCCCACGUGCAGUCGCACCCCUGCAAACCCGCCACUGGCUAUUAUCAUGAAUUUCUCACCUACAGCUGUUGCUGCCCGGGGCCCCAUUACGUACAGGGUACAAGGCAGCCAUUUAUAUGGUAUAGGAACCAUGGAGCAUGUAACAACACAGUGGCUUAGGUUGAUGCUGUCCAUCUUCUUCCAUGCAGGACGGGGGUGGGAUGUUGUACACAAUAGGGGACAUUUAUAAAUACAAGCACAAGGGACUGGGUGUAUGUACUUUAAUGAGCCAAUAGGAAUUCUAACACGUACUUUGGGAUGUGUUCUUACUGUGCAACGUACUAAAGAAAUGGUAUCAUAUAUAGAGGUUAGAGGAGCCUGUGGUGGAGGAAGUGGGACCUAAUCCUUUGGGGGCUCCCAUUCAGUACUCAGGGUGCAGUGGGACAGCCCUAGGCCAUAAAGCAUGAUGAGCUGCACUUCCUAAUGUUGUUCUUGGUUCUGAGUGGGGGAGAUAGAUUAUAGGCCAGCCAUGGUCACUCUGGUCAAGGUGAAAAUGAACUACAAGUUCCAGUGUCCCAGCAACACCUACCGUUGUACUGGAAGUAGUCAUUCAACACCAAAUGGAGAGGUUACCCACCCCCCUUCGCCAUGUAAGUGGUGAAGAUUCAGUGUGGGGUGUUACCGUUACAAGCUCUGGUAUCACUUUCUUUAGGCUAAAAUGCCAAUAUGGCCAACAGGCUUCAUGGCAUGUAAAGUCAUUUUCUGCCAAAUACAGGGCACAUAUUAAACUGUCUCCCCUUUAAUAAAAUCCCCUUUGCUUUACUGGGAUUAUCCUCUGAUAAAUGGAAGCAGCUGUCUAUCCUAGUUUACCCUUGGGUAGAAUUAAGAAGCUCUUCUCAGCAUUAGCGUUAGUGCCAGAGAGACCAUAUGGGGGGAUGUAUGAAACAGUGCAGUGUUUGCUCCACUUUUACCAAUCAGUCAUCGAUUGUGCUUGCUGGUUUGCUAUUGUAGGGAACAUCCGAUUAGGAAGUGAAGGUGCUUUCUGCUUCUGGGCUUUCAAGCCUCACACAUACACACAAGGGAUCAUUUACCAUGCAGAGCACAGUGUGCAAGGUGCAAAAAAGGGCUGCAUUUAGCAUUCCACAUUUUCCUUUUAAUUUUACACACUGCGUUCUUCCAUUCUAUGUGCCUCCUAAUGCAGCUCUCUGCACCAAACUGCCAGAUUUAUAGUCCGUUACUCAGUGAAGAGAGCAGCAUUCCCUGGGUACAAGCCAUUGGUAAGUGCGCACGAAAGGGGCACGCUCUGGCACUUGUGCUCCGGGGAAUAAUAAAUGUCCCCUACAGUGUCACAAAUGGCCAACUGCAAUGAGCCUGCUGUUAACGUCUUCCUCGGCAGGAACACGUAUUGCCAAGUUCCAAAAAUUCUGUAGAAGCAGCGUCAGCACGAUAACUGUUAGUUGUGCAUAGGAUUUGUAUAAGUGAUCAGACACAAACAGACGUAACAUCACCAUGUGCAUUGCCAAGCCUGAGCCGGAGUCGUGUAACACUCACUUCCAUUGGACUGAAACAGCAGAAACCUGGGGAGAGAAAUGGCAUUUCACCCUCUGGCAGUAUGAUGGAAAAGUCUGGGUUUGGCAGAUAUCAGGAGACCAUUCCCUGCCUGAAUGCAUAAUGCCGACUGUGAAUGUUGGUGGAGGGGGAAUAACGCUCUGGGCCUGUCUAUGUUUUGCUACAGGGUACGAUGCCAUUCUUGGCUUCCUGUUGUGUCAACAGUUUGGGGCAGGUUCUUUACUGUUUCAGAGCAAUAAUCCCUCUAUACACAAAGCGAUCUCCCUACAGAGUGGGUUUGCUGAGAUGGGACUGGUAGAACUUGAUUGGCCUGCACAGAACUCCUGGAUUGGAACCCCAACUGCGAGCCAAGCCUGGUCCCCAACAUCUGUGCCCAAAUUCAUGAGGCUUGUGGCUGAAUGGAAGCAAAAUCCCACCAGCAUCUAUUGGGAAACCUCCCCAGAAGUGUAGGGGCUGUUAUAGCAGCAAAGGGAGAGGCAACUUCUUAUUAAAGCCCUUGGUUUUAAAUGAGAUAUUGGUAGACAGGUUUCCACAUACCGGUGCUUAUAAUGUAAAUGUGACUAUAAGUGGCCAACUUGGGGUGGUAAAACACUAUUCACUGAGAGCUAGGGGGAUUAUGCUCAGGUGUGAGUUAUGUAAGCACUGAGGGCCACGCACAGUGACUUCUAGUAGCCAAGAACUAAAUUUAGAGAAUCCUCUACAGUAAGAAACCCCAUCCCAUGUCCUGUUCCCUUUCCUAUUGCCUUAUCUCUGCACUAGUGAUGUGCGGGUCAGGAAAAACUCACCUGGCACCCAACCCAAACCCACAAAUCCUUAUUAACCCGCACCCGACCCUAACCCUCAAAAAGUUGUCUGAAUGGAAGCAAUAGGAUAUCCCCAAGCAAACCACUGCUUUCUGCUGCAGUUACCUGGAAUUGCGUGUGGGGGGUGUGGGUGCAUUAAAGGUUUAUUUGCUUACAUUUUGCAGCAUUAACCAGGAUAUCCCUAGCAUUAAAUGGAUACACUCUUGGAGUCAAGUGUUAUGAAAUGUUAUGAAAAAAAAAUGAAGAUGAUUUUUCUCUUGCAGUACAUGGAGAAGGAAGAUGCAGUUAAUAUAUUGCAGUUCUGGUUGGCUGCAGAUAACGUUCAGUCUCAACUGGCUGCUAAAAAUGGGCCGCAUGACAACCCUUUUGGACGUCCGUGUUCCAAACCAUUUCCAAAGUGCUAUGCCUCGAUCUCCAGCCCGACCCCUAGCAUUACUCUCUAUACCCCCAACUAAUAUGCAUAUAUCCAUCAAACAAAAGGGACUCCUUGCCUUUUCACUGACGGCAGCCAGAACAGUUAUACCCAGACUCUGGAAAAAUACCAGGCCCCCAACAAUUGGAGACUGGGCGAUUGAGCUGAAUCACAUAAUGAGAAUGGAGGAAAUGCUGGCACAUACCAACCACUAAAUCACGUGAAAACUUUACCAAAGUUUGGACAGCCUGGAUUCUCUAUAAAGAAUCCCCAGAACACAACCAAUUACUAGCAACCAGCAACCCAAUCCAGACUCAGGCCUGACCAUCUGUAAGCACAACAUAAAGAUAAACAGUCUGUACCUUGUUAUGUUAUAUUACACUAUACUGUACUUGCUUUUGAUAGAAUACGAUGUCGAACCAAAUAUAUAGGAAUCUAUCAUCACGAAUUGCUGUGAUCUUCCUAACUCCUCUCCCCCCCUUUGUAAAUAUAACCAGCAAAUACAUUACCAUUUACUAUAUGCUCCUAAGUACAGUAAACCAGCAAAAUAUCAUGCAAUGUUGUAAAUAUUCAAAUCACGGUAACUGCGACAGACCAUUGAUGCUCUUGUUCCCCUUCCUUUUCUAUGUAUGUCACCCUGAUUUAUGUGUUUAUAUUUGAAAAAUUAAAAUAAAGAAUAUAUAUAUAUAAAAAAAUGGGCCUUAUGAUGGGCAGGAAGCACAAAAUGAUGCAAUGAUCUUAUAUGAUAAGUGAGUAAUUCUCUAUUUUGUCACAAAAUGCAACAACGAUUUUAUCUUUCCAGUCAGAGACAUAGAGAUAUUUGGCAGCCUCCUUCAUGUUUGAUUAUAUCAUGCUUGUCUAAUCGUAUUGCUAUGUUUAUUUAUUUAGAUCCCUUUGUCCCCUAGGUAUUUCUCCUUACAAGCUAUACAUCCUUUGGGUUUUAUAGGCUGGAAAUUGAAUCCAUCAUUUGUAGGGAUAGAGGUCCUCUCCCAGACUGCUUUACUACUCCGUUACAUCAGGCCCGGACCACCAUGGAAAAGGUAUUCUUGCCCAGCUUCCUUCCAGCAAUCUCUACCAUAAGUACUUGAAUGGUCCCAUCCACUCAGUGGGAGGUAAUGAUUAUAGCUGGUGUGGAGCAGGGAAUCCCAGUCAGGGGCCCAAGCCACUCCGAACCAUACACCCUACAUAAGCGCUGCAGAUUCCUGGCUCCCAGGUACUGAAUGCUAGCACAGGAAAGUAGUGUGAUUAGCUAGCAGCACUAAGAUAUAUGGGUGCUGCUAUCAGCAUAUUCUGUUUUAUGUGCAAUUGCAGAUGUUGGUCUGUUUGGUAAGUGUCACUGACACUGAGGUUUUUAAACAGUAAUUAAAUCAAAAUAGUUCCGAUAGGGCAACUCAAGAUUAAUGCAUGUGUCUCCUGUACUGAUUUCCAUGCACUGCAUUCAUAUACAGAUUGUUCCGCUCCAUAUCUUACCCAUAUACUUUGUUUCUAUGCCGGGCUCUGUGUGGCCCUGGUGAUCCUGAGUGGAACACAUGAAUGUUUAUUUAGAACUGCCAGGCAGAGCCAAUAUGCUGGUUUGUAGUCUUUUGAAUAGCUGGAGGAGGCACACCAGACCAAAGUCACAUAAAUUAGUUGGGUAGUCAAGCCAAAGAAGAUGCACUCAGAACAUCAGCUGAUUGGUGCCAGGCCAGUACAUAAGCACCCCGACUAUGCUGAAGAUUGAGUGAGGCCAUACCAGGUGAACCCAGAAGGUGAGUUAGAUGGGGGAAGUCAGGCCAGACUAGAGGGACCCUAAAGAUGAACUAGAGAAUUUAACCACAGCUGGAAACAAUGGAAGUAGAAAUGCACAUCUGCUGAGGUGACUGUAUGGACUAGUUUUGUGUUAAACUAAGGAUGUCAGUCCUACUCUGCCUGACACUUUUUUUACAUUUCUUUUUUUAUUGAAGUUUCAGUGUAACUCUCAGCCAAGAACAAGUGUAAGGUAACAACAAACCAUAGUUGUCAGAGCUGUACAUCUAAUUCCAGUGAGAUCAUGUACCAUACAAUUAUCUACAUAUAAUGACAACCGUUUCAGAUAACCAUUUAAUAAACCAACUUUCCUUUA